GACGAACGCUGGCGGCGUGCUUAACACAUGCAAGUCGAACGGUGAAGCGCCUUCCUUUUUGGUGGGUGUGGAUGAGUGGCGAACGGGUGAGUAACACGUGAGUAACCUGCCCCCUUCUUCUGGAUAACCGCAUGAAAGUGUGGCUAAUACGGGAUAUUCUGGGUCUGUCGCAUGAUGGGUCUGGGAAAGAUAUUGUUUCGGUUGGGGAUGGGCUCGCGGCCUAUCAGCUUGUUGGUGGGGUGAUGGCCUACCAAGGCGGUGACGGGUAGCCGGCCUGAGAGGGUGGACGGUCACACUGGGACUGAGACACGGCGCAGACUCCUACGGGAGGCAGCAGUGGGGAAUAUUGCACAAUGGGCGCAAGCCUGAUGCAGCGACGCCGCGUGAGGGAUGGAGGCCUUCGGGUUGUGAACCUCUUUCGCCAGUGAAGCAGGCCUGCCUCGUUUGUGGGUGGGUUGACGGUAGCUGGAUAAGAAGCGCCGGCUAACUACGUG
rnacentral:rRNA from 1 species